UGGUAGUGGGCUUCAUUAGCCACAGUAAAUAGAAUAAAUGAGGGUGAGCAAAGAGUGCUGUGGGUCCCCACUCUCUAGAUGCUGACACCAAAAUUACCAAAGCCUUCAUCCCUUUAGCUCCAGACUUGAUGAAUAUGGUGUGGAGACUGCCUCAUCUUUAGUUCUGUGUCAGAGGCCUCAUCCCAGUCUUGGGAGGUUCCUCCCCACUCAAAAUUUCCCUGUAGCUCCCAGAUAGUAGUUUUGGUCCCUUCUCCCUACUGGGAAAGGCCAUGCUGGAAGAGUUGCAUAUUUCCUUGUUGCCCCUUGCUAAAAGAAUAGUACCUGGAGCCGUCCCUGAGACCAGACCUGGCCUGGAUUUCCCUACUUUUGUAAAUGGGAUUUGCCAUCCCCUGCCAGUUCUCACUCUCCUCCAGACACUUCUUUGGGUCAUUUUUUUCGUACCUCCUCCCGCAAAAAAAAAUCAAUGACAAGUCCUAUGGCAUCUUAAAAGACUAACAGGUUUAUUUCAGCAUAAGCUUCCAUGGGUAAAAACCACUUUGUCAGAAGCAGGAGUGGCCUGAGGCGGGCUGCGGCAGCUGGCGCCAAAGGCGGAACGCGCAAUUGGUGCUCCCGCCUACACGGCAGUCAAUGGCCCGUCAGUGGGGUGACGUCAUCAUCGGGUGCCAUUGAAGGCGGCGCCCUAGGCGACGGCUGAGACAGCCUAUAGUCACGGGCCACCCCGGUCAGAGGUAUUGCCAAUGCAUCUGACGAAGUGGUUUGCACCCAUGAAAGCUUAUGUCCAAAUAAACCUGUUAGUCUUUAAGGUCCACAGGACUCGUUGUUUCUGCAGAUACAGGCUAACACGGCUGCCCCUCUGAGACUUGACAGUUCAAAAUAACAAUAAAAAGAAGUCCCUUCUCAACACCUUGCUGCUGCUCUCAUCUCAUCUUCUGUCCACCACCUCCACCCUGAGACUGCAAAUAGGAGGGGACUCUCUACUGUUUCUCCAUGGCUCUCAGAGGAAGAGGAAUGGGAAGGCUUUUGCUGGUCAGGGAGAAGGAUGGGGCAGGAGGGCAACCCUCACUUCCCUCUCUUCUCCAUUUUGCUUUGCUUUGCUUUUGCUUUGCUUGGAGCUGUUUGGGACAGACCUGGACACAGCAAAUCCCAGCCAUGAUGCCACAUGCACUCAGCCAUGGACAUGGGAAGAGGAAGAUCCUUCAGAACAACCCUAAGUCAAGGUCCACCAGGACCCACUCACCCAAGACCACCCCUACACCUCCCUUCCUUGUGCUCCACUCCAGCAUAUAGAACCACUGUCAGGUCUGAGUGUACCACAUCUCCUUACCCAACAAAUCCACUAUGCACCGCCCAUGCAGGCCUCCCAGUCACACCGUUGUACAGAGCCAAAAGCAGAAAUUGUUUGUACAUAAUGAACCUUAUUUUGUAUUAUUGCAAUCCUUGAGAUAUUGUAUUUUGGAGACUCUCUGAUCUUAUUUUCAGUAUUGUAUUUUAUUAAGAGUUAGUGCGGGCUUAGCCUUUACGAAUUUCCUCCCUUUUGGGGGCUCUUUUUCCCCUUAUAGCCCAGCAGCUGCCUUUUCCUUUAUUUUGUUUUUUUUUAAUCACUUUUUUCCUCCUAUCACUUGCUCUGCUUUCGCUUUAGAGAAGCAAAAUUAAAAAAAAAAGAUGCAGCAUCAA